AAAUAAUCGAUGUUAAUACUUAAUUAUUAAUUUGUUACAUGGAUGAAUUACACUUACCAUCUUUGAUCACUGUAACUCCCCAAAACCAACCAACCAACCACCUAAUCACUCCCCUGUGGAAAACUUGUUAAUUAUUUGAUACUGGAAUCUCGUUGCGGAAUAUUACCUUGCAACUUUAACAAUUUUGUUUUUUGCACAGUUGGAUGCGGUUUGAGACUCUGAGUCGUCCUGUCCAUUGCUUUAUCGUUUGGUUUUUAUCCAUCACUAUUUUUUGGUCAAUGACUACAUCGGUCAUCUUCUUUAUUAUUAUGUGGUCGAUCGUUCAAUGCCGGGCAACUCAAGUUGAAAGAUAAAGACAGAGUGGUGCAGAAACGAAGGCCACCAAGACUAGUAUACUACAGAAGAAGUGGAAGGAACACCCGUGCACCAAGAUAUCUCUUAAAGGGACAAGUAACGGUGAUGAUGCUCAGGAAUCAAGUUUGAAAGGAAAUGUUCAUUUUACCAUAGAAGUAUUACUAGUGCGAUUUACUCCAACAUCACAAUGAUAUUUACUACUCUCGGGUCAUGAAGGGUCCGAAGGAUCAUUACAUUCAACUAAGAAAAAACAUACUAAUACCAUAUAUUCACUUAAAACUUUAUGACAUUGGAUAUAUGGAUUCUCUCACUUAUAUAUUGUUGAACAUCCACAUUUCUAUCCAACAUGAGAUUCUUACUCACAC